rnacentral:rRNA from 1 species
GGAACGAACGCUGGCGGCGUGGAUAAGACAUGCAAGUCGAACGGGACUUAAUCUGUAGCAAUACAGGUUAAGUUUAGUGGCGAACGGGUGCGUAACACGUGGGCAAUCUGCCGAGAAGUGGGAGAUAGCUCGCCGAAAGGCGAAUUAAUACCGCAUAUGAUCAGGGACGACAUCUUCCCAACAUCAAACCGCCGGGGCAACCUGGCGCUUCUUGAUGAGCCCGCGGCCUAUCAGCUAGUUGGUGAGGUAACGGCUCACCAAGGCUAUGACGGGUAGCGUGGUCUGAGAGGACGACCAGUCACACGUAGG